rnacentral:lncRNA from 1 species
UGGCACAUUAUAAAUGUCCUUAAUGUCACUGACCUUAUACUUAAAAAUGGUCAAAAUGGUCAAUUUUGUGUAUUAUGCAUACAAUUUAUGUAUAUUUUACCAAAAAAAAAUUUUUUUUAAAGGACGGUAAUGUGGUCCAGGCAGUUUAACAUUUGACCACUAUUCUGGGUAGUUUUAUACACAAGGCAGGUCAAUUAUGUCAUAUUUUUAAAGAAUCAUCAUCUUAGUAAGACAUCUUCCAGCAGAUAUUUUUCCUUAAUAAUAAUUGAAGGUUCAGACCCCACAAUUCCUAGAAGUCAGGUACAUAUCGACAGAAAAGCUUAGGCAGAAAACAAAAACGUAAAGGAAACCACCAAAAAACAACAACAACCAAAAAAACCCUUAAGGCCCACAUCUACAAGAUGAAACUAUUUGGAGAUUAAGCACAAUGCCUGGGAGAAUAAAUGGGAAGUGACUCCAUUAGACAUCACUCAAGGAAAUAAGAACUAAAAUAAGAUAUGUUUUCAUCUCUGUGGUCUGGGCAAGUGAGCAUGUAAUUUGCCCUAUAAAUGGUGGGUGAGCUGAUCCAGGGGCAAAUCAGAGGAAGUCAGGUCUUCAACAUUCCAGAAGAGUGGAGGACAUGACACUGGAAAACUCUGGGAGAAUUACACCUAGACCUGAGGGAUGGUCUCCCUCAGGUGGGAUGGAGGUGAAAAGGGAUAGAGUAGAAGUUGGUCAGAAAUGGGAGAAACAGCAGAAAAAGAAAGGCAGGCAGGAUUCCUGCCUUUGCACACCUGGGAGGGCUCACAGGAGAACCAGACCGGCUGCAAGAAGCUGUCUCCUCAGGUACCCUGCAGACAUUGGAUGAGCAAGAUCGCAGCGGAGUAACUGCACCGGGGGCUCGGCCCAGGGGCUCCAGGUCCGCAGGACUGGAAGUACUUUAUUUGAUAAACCCACACAAUUAUGUUUUUAGCAAGGUCUUUUCUUUACUCAGUGAAAAACUAAGGUCAUAAUUAAGUUUCUACUUUGAGAGAUUCUCACCCUUUUUCAGUCAUAAACAUCCCCAGGGCAUGAUCCUCUCCUGUCUGUGGGUGGAUGACAUCCUCUCACUUAAAUCGUAAGUUGGCUUAUUUAAGGGAACUUGCAUUGCCGAGUAUUCUUUGGGUGAUAUUAAAUUUGUUCUCAAAUGAUGUACAGGGAUAAACAGAAACUGAAGCAAUUCAAGUCAUGGCGUUAACAAUAGAGACCACAUCUGGGGCACCUGGGUGGCUCAGUUGGUUAAGUGUCUGCCUUGGGCUCAGGUCAUGAUCCCAGGGUCCUGGGACAGAGCCCUAAGGGCUCUCUGCUCAACUGGGAGCCUGCUUUUCCCUAUCCCUCUGGCCUGCCACUCCCCCUGCUUCUCUGUCAAAUAAAUAAAAUCUCAAAAAAAAAAGAUAUAGACCACACCUGGCACUUGGCUGGCUCAGUCUGGGGAGCAUGUGACUCUUGAUCUUAGGGUUGUGAGUUCAAACCCCACAUUGUAUGGCCAAUUAUUUAAAUAAAUAAAAAAUUUUAAGGCAUUAGACCACACCCUAGAAACAUUUAUUUUUGCAUUCUAGGUUUCAAUUGCUAUAAGCAUAUCUAAGGGGGAGGCUCCUUAUCAAAAUCCAGAUCAGAUAACUCAAGGGUACAGAGGGAAAAAGCUAGCGCUGGUCUAAAAUUUAGCUCCAGAGCAGCCCGGGUGGCUCAGUGGUUUAGCACCGCCUUCCACUUGGGGCAUGAUCCUGAAGACCAGGGAUCGAGUCCCACGUCGGGCUCCCUGCAUGGAGCCUGCUUCUCUCUCUGUGUCUCUGCCCUCUGCCCCCCCCCCCCCUUUGGGUCUCUCACAAAUAAAUAAAUAAAUAUUUUUUAAAAAAAUAAAAAAAAAAUAAAAUUUAGCUCCAGCUCAUACCUUUGGGGCAUCCAGUACAUCCCAAGGCAAUACUGGCAAGUUUCCCCUUGGAUGAAGCUUCCUUCAAGGGUGGCCAUGCUCUGGGAAAUUGAGAGGAUGCUAACUAAAUAGUGGGUCUCUGAGAUAGAGAAUAGGAGAUUAAAAUCUAAACUGGAUUCUGUUCUCAGUUUGGAAAUUUUCUUACUAAAGAUUCUGAGUAUCAGUAGGAAGGUGCUACUCUCUAGGGGUUGUAGUGCCUGUUUCUACCCUUGAGUGGAGACUGGGGCUCUAGGGUUUCAAUGUCAGGCUCGCCCGCUAUCUGGAGAAGACAGCAUGCCAUUACGCAAUGGAUUUUGGUCCAAGGUAAUGAAUACCGAAAUUUUCCCAGUUUCAUUCUAAAACAGAAAAAAUAUUUUUUAAAAAUAUUAUAAAAUAUUUAAAAUAUUUAUAAAUAUUUAUACAAUAAAGAUUUUAUUUAUUUAUUCAUGAGAGACUCAGAAAGAAAGAGACACAGGCAGAGGGAGAAGCAGGCUCCCUGGGAGCCUGAUGCGGGUCUUCAUCCCAGGUCCCCAAGAUCACACCCUGAGCCAAAGGCAGAAGUUCAACCGCUGAGCCACCCAGGCGUCCCAAUAAAAUAAUAUUUUUAUUGGAUUGUUUUAUUAUUAUAGCUUUCCAAAUAUUUUGUGGUGAUUCUGCAUAAGCCACCACACAGGCUAGCAUCUAAUCCAGGAUGCCCUAACAGCCAGUGUGCAGAAGACUCCUCUCAAAAAUGCGGAUUUCCAUGCUCCACCACCUCCAUUCUGGUGACUCAUCCUGAGAACCGAGUUCCAAUUACAGCAAUCAUUUGGAUGUUUGCAUCUCACCUUCUGGAGACUAGAAAGGAGAAUGCUCAUGUUUUUCAAAGACCUGGGCUUUGCAACCCAACACUCUGAAGAACUCAUCUGGUUAUUCGGCGCACAGCAUGUCUGUUGUAUAUUAAAGUAGAUAAAGUAGUCAGUAGUCACUUAUCCUGAUAACACAAACCUGUGGCCUCGCAUGUGUAGGGAUAACCCUUUUCUACCUGCCACAGUGGGAAGAAGUGGGUAGGUACCACAUCCCCAAGAGUCAGUUAAUAGAGGAGAGCAUGAAUACCCUUAGUCCAAAUGUCCUAAAUGUGGACUGCAGAGUCAACAUGAAGUACUGGCUAAAGGCUCACAUCUGGGACACGUGGGUGGUUCUCUGCCUUCCACCCAGGGCGUGAUCCUGGGGUCCCGGGAUCGAGUCCCGUGUGGGGCUCCCUGAACAGAGCCUGUUUCUCCCUCUGCCUAUGUCUCUGCCUCUCUCUCUCUCUCUCUCUCUCUCUCUCCGUGUGUCUCUCAUGAAUAAAUAAAUAAAACCUUUUAAAAAAAAAUAAAGGCUCACAUCUGCAGUGGGAGAUGCCUAUUUUCCAACAAUGAGAUGACCAAAAACACAAGACCACAGGUUGACCAAGUCCAAGACCACUUCAGUGGGACACCUGGGUGACUAGUUGGUUGAGUCUGCCUUCAGCUCAGAUCAUGAUCCUGGGGUCCUGGGAUUGAGCCCUGUGUAGGACUCCCUGCUCAGCAGAGUCUGCUUCUCCUUCUCCCUCUGCCCCCCUCACGCAUGCCCUCUCUCAAAUAAUCUUAAAAAAAAAAAAAAAAAAA